rnacentral:rRNA from 1 species
UACGUAGGGUGCAAGCGUUGUCCGGAAUUAUUGGGCGUAAAGAGCUCGUAGGCGGUUUGUCGCGUUGUUCGUGAAAACUCACAGCUCAACUGUGGGCGUGCGGGCGAUACGGGCAGACUGGAGUACUGCAGGGGAGACUGAAAUUCCUGGUGUAGCGGUGGAAUGCGCAGAUAUCAGGAGGAACACCGGUGGCGAAGGCGGGUCUCUGGGCAGUAACUGACGCUGAGGAGCGAAAGCGUGGGGAGCGAACAGG